rnacentral:rRNA from 1 species
UACGUAGGGAGCAAGCGUUGUCCGGAAUCAUUGGGCGUAAAGCGCGCGUAGGUGGCCUCAUAAGUCCGCUGUGAAAGUCAAAGGCUCAACCUUUGAAAGCCGGUGGAUACUGUGAGGCUAGAGUACGGAAGAGGCGAGUGGAAUUCCUGGUGUAGCGGUGGAAUGCGCAGAUAUCAGGAGGAACACCAAUAGCGAAGGCAGCUCGCUGGGACGUUACUGACACUGAGGCGCGACAGCGUGGGGAGCAAACAGG